rnacentral:rRNA from 1 species
AGAGUUUGAUCCUGGCUCAGAGUGAACGCUGGCGGCGUGCUUAACACAUGCAAGUCGAACGAGAACGGAUUAUAGCUUGCUAUAAUUGUCAGCUAAGUGGCAGCACGGGUGAGUAAUGUAUAGGUAAUAUGCCUCUUACUAAGGGAUAACAAAUGGAAACGUUUGCUAAUACCUUAUACUCCUUAUUAACAGAAGUUAAUAAGGGAAAGAUUUAUUGGUAAGAGAUUAGCCUGUAUUGUAUCAGUUAGUUGGUGGGGUAAUGGCUUACCAAGACUAUGACACAUAACUGGUUUGAGAGGAUGAUCAGUCACACUGGAACUGAGACACGGUCCAGACUCCUACGGGAGGCAGCAGUGGGGAAUAUUGCACAAUGGACGAAAGUCUGAUGCAGCAACGCCGCGUGGAGGAUGACACAUUUCGGUGCGUAAACUCCUUUUAUAUGAGAAGAUAAUGACCGGAUUAUAUGAAUAAGCACCGGCUAACUCCGUGCCAGCAGCCGCGGUAAUAC